rnacentral:ncRNA from 2 species
AAUAAACAGAAUAGCAACACUCAUAUAAAUCCAGUAAUAUGGUCUGGAAGUAUCUACCAGGCAACCGUAAAUUGUCUGACUAUGGGUGAAAUUAUUAUAAUG